GGAGUAUAGCUCAGAGGGGGAGUGCAUGCUUAGCACGCAUGAGGUCCUGGAUUCAAUUCCUCGUAACUCCA
rnacentral:tRNA from 1 species